UACGAAGGGGGCUAGCGUUGCUCGGAAUGACUGGGCGUAAAGGGCGCGUAGGCGGCUUGCACCGUCAGAUGUGAAAUUCCUGGGCUUAACCUGGGGGCUGCAUUUGAUACGUGUGGGCUUGAGUGCGGAAGAGGGUCGUGGAAUUCCCAGUGUAGAGGUGAAAUUCGUAGAUAUUGGGAAGAACACCGGUGGCGAAGGCGGCGACCUGGUCCGUGACUGACGCUGAUGCACGAAGGCCAGGGGAGCAAACGGG
rnacentral:rRNA from 1 species